AACGAACGCUGGCGGCAGGCUUAACACAUGCAAGUCGAGCGCCCCGCAAGGGGAGCGGCAGACGGGUGAGUAACGCGUGGGAACAUACCCUUUGGUUCGGAAUAACUCAGGGAAACUUGAGCUAAUACCGGAUACGUCCGUAAGGAGAAAGAUUUAUCGCCAAAGGAUUGGCCCGCGUCCGAUUAGCUAGUUGGUGAGGUAACGGCUCACCAAGGCUACGAUCGGUAGCUGGUCUGAGAGGAUGAUCAGCCACAUUGGGACUGAGACACGGCCCAAACUCCUACGGGAGGCAGCAGUGGGGGAAUAUUGGACAAUGGGCGCAAGCCUGAUCCAGCCAUGCCGCGUGAGUGAUGAAGGCCUUAGGGUUGUAAAGCUCUUUUGUCCGGGAAGAUAAUGACUGUACCGGAAGAAUAAGCCCCGGCUAACUUCGUGCCAGCAGCCGCGGUAAAG
rnacentral:rRNA from 1 species